rnacentral:rRNA from 1 species
ACCCUCGCUGUGUGUUACAAGUGUCACACGGAACUGCCGGUCAUAAACCGGAGGAAGGUGGGGAUGACGUCAAGUCAGCAUGGCCUUUAUAUCCUGGGCUACACACACGCUACAAUGGGAAGGGACAAUAGGUUGCGAAACCGCGAGGUGGAGCCAAUCCAGCAAAACUUCCCUCAGUUCAGAUUGCAGGCUGCAACUCGCCUGCAUGAAGUUGGAGUUGCUAGUAAACGCAGGUCAGCCAUACUGCGUUGAAUACGUUCCCGGGGCUU